rnacentral:rRNA from 1 species
UACGUAGGGUGCAAGCGUUAAUCGGAAUUACUGGGCGUAAAGCGCGCGCAGGCGGUUGUGCAAGACCGAUGUGAAAUCCCCGGGCUUAACCUGGGAAUGGCAUUGGUGACUGCACGGCUAGAGUGUGUCAGAGGGGGGUAGAAUUCCACGUGUAGCAGUGAAAUGCGUAGAGAUGUGGAGGAAUACCGAUGGCGAAGGCAGCCCCCUGGGAUAACACUGACGCUCAUGCACGAAAGCGUGGGGAGCAAACAGG